rnacentral:tRNA from 1 species
GGUGGCUCAGUGGUAGAGUGCUUGCCUUGCAUGCCUGAGGCCCUGGGUUGGAUUCCCAGUACCA